UACGUAGGGUGCAAGCGUUGUCCGGAAUUAUUGGGCGUAAAGAGCUCGUAGGCGGUUUGUCGCGUCUGCCGUGAAAACUCGGGGCUUAACUCCGGGCCUGCAGUGGGUACGGGCAGACUAGAGUGCGGUAGGGGAGACUGGAAUUCCUGGUGUAGCGGUGAAAUGCGCAGAUAUCAGGAGGAACACCGGUGGCGAAGGCGGGUCUCUGGGCCGUAACUGACGCUGAGGAGCGAAAGCGUGGGGAGCGAACAGGA
rnacentral:rRNA from 1 species